rfam:Moniliophthora roreri MCA 2997 sctg_0078_0001, whole genome shotgun sequence.
GCUCGCGUAGCUCAGUGGUAGAGCAUUGUACUUAUGAGGUUACCUGAUUACAAACCUACGCAUAGGAAUGCAAGGGUCUCCGGUUCAAUCCCGGGCGUGAGCA